CGAAUUCGCCGACUUUGAUUCAGGAUCUCAGCUCCCUCUUUGCCUCAGAUUCGAGUUUUGCUUAGUGGUGGGUUUUCUCAAUUCAGAUCAUGCUAUUCUCGAGUUCAGAUUAGCUAUGUCGACGCUUUGGACCGGCUGGAGCGCGAAUUCCGACGGUUACAAGAGUUGAAGACUGCUGGUAGCUCAACGUACACAGCCAUUUGGAUGGAAUCUCGUCUACAAGCAUGGCACGACACUCGGGCUUCGGCUGGACUUGAGAUUCAAACGCAACAAAGUCGGGUGGAUCAAAUGGAGGCCUUGGCUAUCUUGGGGAUGGCGAAGGGUGACUUGGAGCGUUCACGAGUUGUGAUAUCCGGAAAAUUGGAGCUCUCGAAACAGAAGUUAGCCAAGAUCCAACAAGAGGCUGCGAAAACAUUAUCCCUCACCGAGGAAUCCUUCAAGGUUGCAUUGCAGUGUGAGCUUGAGCGAACUUAUACAGAGGAAUGGA